AUCCAUUCUUGCAGCUGGCUCACCCUGCAAUAUUUCUCCAUGCUGCAACCCCCUGUCUCCCAUGGCCUCAGGAAAGAGAGCUCACGCCUCCCCCCUCCCUCCAGAAGAGCGGGCUUCUCCCAGACUCCUUGGCUGCUCCGGAAAUCAUCUUGCAGAGAAUCAUCCUGGUCGGAAAUGGUUCCUUCCUCAGGAGGCUGCCCAGGGAAGCCGCCGGGUGUCCGUCCACAGAUGGGGCUUAGCUGAAGCUUGGCUCACUGGUGGGAGCUCCAUGCCAAGCCCAAGGGACAGAAAUCACGCUCAAGGCCUGAAGGAGAGAGGAGGGACUCUUGAUUUGUUUGCAGAGGACACACACAAUGGACUCACACAUGUCCUGGGGCACACAGAUGUGUGUGCAUGUGCAUGCAUGCAUGUGUGCAUGUGCACAUGCAUGUACAGCACAGGUACACACAAGUGUGUUUACACAUGUGUGCAUACACACACGUGUAUAUGUGUGCCUGUGGCGUGUGCAUGUAUGUGCAUGCAUGCAUACAUGCGCGCACCUGUGUGUGUGUGUGUACAGGAACUCCGCUGCCAGCAAGGCUGACUCCCUGUUCUACUUGAUCCCAACAAGUGGCCGUCCUGUCCUGCUUCUGCUUGAAGACGUUUAGCCGGCGGAACCCUUGUCUGUGGGCGGCCGCUCCCCUGGGAAACAGCUUGGGGGUUUUUCUAGGCGGAGAACUUUGGUUUGGCGAAUGGCUGGUGGCGCUGUGGCGAGAGCUCCGGUCCUGGAGUCCAGCAUGCCGGAGACACCAUUCAGCCUCAAAUGCUUACUGGUGGUCUGGCCCUGCACAACUCACUUAAUGUCUGUUUGCCUCAGUUUGCUCAACUGUAAAAUGGGCUGACAUGUACCCUCCAGGCUUGUUGUGAAGAUCAAAGGACACAGGACGUCUGUAGAACGUUCUUAGCUCAGUCCUCGACACACGGGAGGAGCUGCGCCAGUCGUCGUUUCUUCCCUUUCUGUCCCUCCCUUGAGUUUUUCAAGCGUGAAUGUGUGACGAUGACUCCUGGGGCCCCACACUGGGUCUCCCUGCCAGGCUUUCAGAUGCUUCAAUCCAGAUACAUCCACCAGGAAUCUUUUCUGUGGCAGCCUCAACGCCCUUUAGUUUGUCCUCAGGAUCCUCCAUUCUCCUCGUUUUCCUCCUUUUGGAGGUUGUCCCACUUUCAAUCAACGUCCUUCCUAAGAGGCAGUGAUGGGAUUUGAACAGUGACCUCGAUGGCAUCCGGCCAGGAUGGAGGUGCACAGGACUACUGACUUCCCAUCCUGGGACUCCACCUCCAAGCAGCCAGACCUCACUUGAACCCCGUACAGUCACCAUACCACAAUGCUAACUCAUGAAGGAGCCGUCCACUACGACCCCAGACUCUUUUCAGACAAACCGUGCUCUGAUCAUGCUCUCUCUUCUUUGUAACUGACUUAAUUUUUAUUAAGUAUUUUUAUUAAUUUCUAAAAUUUUAUUAAUUAUCAAUUCAAUGAUUUUUAUCAAUUAUCAAUCUAAUAUUUUAUCAAUUGUUAAUUAAAAUUUUAUUGAUUACUAAUUUAAUA
ensembl:lncRNA